AUUGAACGCUGGCGGCAGGCCUAACACAUGCAAGUCGAACGGUAACAGAAAGCAGCUUGCUGCUUUGCUGACGAGUGGCGGACGGGUGAGUAAUGUCUGGGAAACUGCCUGAUGGAGGGGGAUAACUACUGGAAACGGUAGCUAAUACCGCAUAACGUCGCAAGACCAAAGAGGGGGACCUUCGGGCCUCUUGCCAUCGGAUGUGCCCAGAUGGGAUUAGCUAGUAGGUGGGGUAAAGGCUCACCAAGGCGACGAUCCCUAGCUGGUCUGAGAGGAUGACCAGCCACACUGGAACUGAGACACGGUCCAGACUCCUACGGGAGGCAGCAGUGGGGAAUAUUGCACAAUGGGCGCAAGCCUGAUGCAGCCAUGCCGCGUGUAUGAAGAAGGCCUUCGGGUUGUAAAGUACUUUCAGCGGGGAGGAAGGGAGUAAAGUUAAUACCUUUGCUCAUUGACGUUACCCGCAGAAGAAGCACCGGCUAACUCCGUG
rnacentral:rRNA from 1 species